ensembl:ncRNA T14F9.14 ncRNA
GGUGGUAUGGCCCAGCCUGUCCCCGCGCGCGCUGCCGCGUGCCUGCCAUCCAUGGCUUGACCUUGGCAAUGCGCGGAUCUGUUUGCGAAUUAUUCGCGGUUCAUCAACAUGGGAGGGAGGAGGGGGGCAAAAUUGCGGCACGCGCAUGAGUGGCCGAUGUUUCGAACCGUGCCACGCUCAGAUUGUUUUAUUUGACCUGACCAACAUCGCAACUGACCUAGGCACUCGGCGGCGCCACCCAGCGCCGAAAGUAGCGCAUCUCG